AUUGAACGCUGGCGGCAUGCCUUACACAUGCAAGUCGAACGGCAGCGCGGGAGCAAUCCUGGCGGCGAGUGGCGAACGGGUGAGUAAUACAUCGGAACGUGCCCAAUCGUGGGGGAUAACGCAGCGAAAGCUGUGCUAAUACCGCAUACGAUCUACUGAUGAAAGCAGGGGAUCGCAAGACCUUGCGCGAUUGGAUCGGCCGAUGGCAGAUUAGGUAGUUGGUGAGGUAAAGGCUCACCAAGCCUUCGAUCUGUAGCUGGUCUGAGAGGACGACCAGCCACACUGGGACUGAGACACGGCCCAGACUCCUACGGGAGGCAGCAGUGGGGAAUUUUGGACAAUGGGCGAAAGCCUGAUCCAGCCAUGCCGCGUGCAGGAUGAAGGCCUUCGGGUUGUAAACUGCUUUUGUAAGGAACGAAAAGGUCUUUUCUAAUAAAGAAGGCUAAUGACGGUACCGGAAGAAUAAGCACCGGCUAACUACGUG
rnacentral:rRNA from 1 species